UUUAAUUUUCUUAAGCAUUACAUGAGCAUUAUAAGUGAUAAAAUCAUAUUCUAUUUUCUACAUGCAAAGAGAAAACAAUAUGGCAAAAACUAUCAAAUUUGUUUACACAAUGAUUUUAUUUCUUUCCCUCUUCAUUGUUGCAAAAGAAGUUCAUGCAUAUCCUGGUUGUGAAACUGAUGCUGAAUGUCCAAAAAUUUACGAAUUGUAUCCUUUAAUUUAUAAAUGCGAAAACAAGUUUUGUAUACUUUCUCAAGUGCUUCCAUAUAUUGUAUGAAUAUCUGACCCACAAGAGUGCAUAAAUGUCACGAAGAGAAGAAUAAGUUCUUUCCCUAGGAAAAAAGAAAAUUCAAUAUACCUAUAAUUUUUGCAUGAAUUUCAUUUAAUUUUUGUGCUAGUACCAAUCAAAUCACUUGAAGGAGCUUUAUACCAUUGAAUAGCAUUGCUAAAAGAUGCACCAUUAAUUUAGUAGUAAUCUUGAUUUGAAUUGUUUCUGUAUGCUGAAGAAUACUAAGAAAAGUGUUUGGCACAUUCACAUAAACAGUUUGUGGAAUUUGAAGUUCCACUUGCAUGUUUUUCCCCAUUGAAACAUAAACUCUAUUUUUUUUUUCUUUCCAAUAACUCAAUUUGUUAGCAAUAACAUCCCUAUUAAUUGAUUUUCCAGCAACGUAUUUCUCAACAUUUGCAACCCCUUUUUCUUAUUCUCAUAAUUCAAAUCCAUCGGCUUUUUUAGCAAUUUUGUUGCAUUGCUGUAUUGAGUGUCCUAUGACUCUUCAGUUAUUGUAGAACAAGGGUCGUUUUCUCAUUAACAAUCUCAAAAAAAAAAAAAAAAAGCCCUUCUUUUU